rnacentral:rRNA from 1 species
UACGGAAGGCAGCAGUGGGGAAUAUUGCACAAUGGGCGCAAGCCUGAUGCAGCCAUGCCGCGUGUAUGAAGAAGGCCUUCGGGUUGUAAAGUACUUUCAGUCGUGAGGAAGGUGUUAAGGUUAAUAACCUUAGCAAUUGACGUUAGCGACAGAAGAAGCACCGGCUAACUCCGUGCCAGCAGCCGCGGUAAUACGGAGGGUGCGAGCGUUAAUCGGAAUUACUGGGCGUAAAGGGCACGCAGGCGGUUAAUUAAGUUGGAUGUGAAAUCCCCGGGCUUAACCUGGGAAUGGCAUUCAAGACUGGUUAGCUAGAGUCUUGUAGAGGGGGUAGAAUUCCAUGUGUAGCGGUGAAAUGCGUAGAGAUGUGGAGGAAUACCGGUGGCGAAGGCGGCCCCUGGACAAAAGACUGACGCUCAUGUGCGAAAAGCGUGGGGAGCAAAACAGGGAUUAGAAUACC